UACAGAGGGUGCAAGCGUUGUUCGGAAUUAUUGGGCGUAAAGGGCGCGUAGGCGGUGCGGUAAGUCUGUAGUGAAAUCUCUGGGCUCAACUCAGAGUCUGCUGCAGAAACUGCCGGGCUUGAGUGUGGGAGAGGUGAGUGGAAUUUCCGGUGUAGCGGUGAAAUGCGUAGAUAUCGGAAGGAACACCUGUGGCGAAAGCGGCUCACUGGACCACAACUGACGCUGAUGCACGAAAGCUAGGGGAGCAAACAGG
rnacentral:rRNA from 1 species